rnacentral:rRNA from 1 species
AGAGUUUGAUCAUAGCUCAGGAUGAACGCUAGCGGUGCGCCUAACACAUGCAAGUCGAACGGAGAGAACGGUGCUUGCACCGUUCAAUCAGUGGCAAACGGGUGAGUAACGAGUUUGUACCUGCCCCAGAGUGAGGGAUACCGUAUUGAAAGAUACGUUAAUACCGCAUAGUCCAGUAAUGGUAAAGCCGCAAGGCGCUUUGGGAGGGGCAUGCUUUCUAUCAGCUAGUUGGUGAGGUAAUGGCUCACUAAGGCAAUGACGGAUAGCUGGUCUGAGAGGACGACCAGCCACAAUGGGACUGAGACACGGCCCAUACUCCUACGGGAGGCAGCAGUGAGGAAUCUUCCACAAUGGGCGCAAGCCUGAUGGAGCGACACCGCGUGAAGGAUGAAGCGUUUACUCGUGUAAACUUCUUUUUUGUGGGAAAAUAAUGAUGGUACCACAAGAAUAAGGGGCGGCAAACUACGUGCCAGCAGCCGCGGUAAUACGUAGGCCCCAAGCGUUAUCCGGAAUUACUGGGUGUAAAGGGUUUGUAGGCGGGAUGGAAAGUCAGAUGUGAAAGGCUGGGGCUUAACCCCAUGUUUGCAUCCGAAACUCCCAUUCUUGAAUGAGGGAGAGGUAAGCAGAAUCGUAUGAGUAGGGGUGCAAUCCGUUGAUACAUACGAGAAUACCAAAAGCGAAGGCAGCUUACUGGAACUCUAUUGACGCUGAGGAACGAAAGCGUGGGGAGCGAAAAGGAUUAGAUACCCUUGUAGUCCACGCCCUAAACGAUGAAAACUAAGUGUCGGGGUAACCCGGUGCUUCAAGCUAACGCAUUAAGUUUUCCACCUGAGAAGUACGGUCGCAAGAUUAAAACUCAAAUGAAUAGACGGGGACCCACACAAGCAGUGGAUCAUGUUGUUUAAUUCGACAAUAAACGAGGAACCUUACCCAGGCUUGACAUCGAUGGAAUCCGCUGGAAACAGUGGAGUACCCGCAAGGGACCUGAAGACAGGCGCUGCAUGGUUGUCGUCAGCUCGUGCCUUGAGGUGUUCGGUUAAGUCCGUUAACGAGCGCAACCCAUAUCGUUAGUUACUAUGUCUAACGAGACUGCCUGAGUUAAUCAGGAGGAAGGUGUGGAUGACGUCAAAUCAGCAUGGCCCUUAUGCCUGGGGCUACAAACAUGAUACAAUGGUCGGUACAAUGCGUCGCAACAUGGUAACAUGAAGCCAAUCGCCAAAGCCGAUCUCAGUCCAGAUUGAGGUCUGCAACUCGACCUCAUGAAGUUGGAAUUGCUAGUAAUCGUGAAUCAGCUAUGUCACGGUGAAUUCGUUCCUGGGUCUUGUACUCACCGCCCGUCAAAGCAUGGGAGGUGGUUCCACUGGAAGCCCCCGAAGCAAUAUUGGGGACCAUGGUGAAAUCACUGACUGGGCUUAAGUCGUAACAAGGUA